rnacentral:sRNA from 23 species
GAGGAAUGACCGCAUGCUAAGAGCGAGGCGUCCUGCCUCAGGCGCAUGCAUUUGUACGUCCUGUACU